rnacentral:rRNA from 1 species
GACGAACGCUGGCGGCGUGCUUAACACAUGCAAGUCGAACGAAGAGCGAUGGAAGCUUGCUUCUAUCAAUCUUAGUGGCGAACGGGUGAGUAACGCGUAAUCAACCUGCCCUUCAGAGGGGGACAACAGUUGGAAACGACUUCUAAUACCGCAUACGAUCUAAUCUCGGCAUCGAGGAUAGAUGAAAGGUGGCCUCUACAUGUAAGCUAUCACUGAAGGAGGGGAUUGUGUCUGAUUAGCUAGUUGGAGGGGUAACGGCCCACCAAGGCGAUGAUCAGUAGCCGGUCUGAGAGGAUGAACGGCCACAUUGGGACUGAGACACGGCCCAGACUCCUACGGGAGGCAGCAGUGGGGAAUCUUCCGCAAUGGACGAAAGUCUGACGGAGCAACGCCGCGUGAGUGAUGAAGGCCUUCGGGUUGUAAAGCUCUGUUAAUCGGGACGAAAGGCCUUCUUGCGAAUAGUGAGAAGGAUUGACGGUACCGGAAUAGAAAGCCACGGCUAACUACGUG